UGGGGAAUAUUGGACAAUGGACCGAGAGUCUGAUCCAGCAAUUCUGUGUGCACGAUGAAGUUUUUCGGAAUGUAAAGUGCUUUCAGUUGGGAAGAAAUAAAUGACGGUACCAACAGAAGAAGUGACGGCUAAAUACGUGCCAGCAGCCGCGGUAAUACGUAUGUCACGAGCGUUAUCCGGAUUUAUUGGGCGUAAAGCGCGUCUAGGUGGUUAUGUAAGUCUGAUGUGAAAAUGCAGGGCUCAACUCUGUAUUGCGUUGGAAACUGUAUAACUAGAGUACUGGAGAGGUAAGCGGAACUACAAGUGUAGAGGUGAAAUUCGUAGAUAUUUGUAGGAAUGCCGAUGGGGAAGCCAGCUUACUGGACAGAUACUGACGCUAAAGCGCGAAAGCGUGGGUAGCAAACAGGAUUAGAUACCCUGGUAGUCCACGCUGUAAACGAUGAUUACUAGGUGUUGGGGGUCGAACCUCAGCGCCCAAGCAAACGCGAUAAGUAAUCCGCCUGGGGGAGUACGUACGCAAGUAUG
rnacentral:rRNA from 1 species